UAGAGUUUUGUAGUCCUGGCGUCAGGAUGAACGCUGGCGGCGUGCCUAAUACAUGCAAGUCGAGCGAACCACUUCGGUGGGAAGUCGGCGAACGGGUGAGUAACACGUAGGUGAUCUGCCCAUCAGACGGGGACAACGAUUGGAAACGAUCGCUAAUACCGGAUAGGACGAAAGUUUAAAGAUGCUCCUGGCAUCACUGAUGGAUGAGCCUGCGGCGCAUUAGCGUAGUUGGUGGGGUAAAGGCCUACCAAGGCGACGAUGCGUAGCCGACCUGAGAGGGUGAACGGCCACACUGGGACUGAGACACGGCCCAGACUCCUACGGAGGCAGCAGUAGGGAAUCUUCGGCAAUGGGCGAAAGCCUGACCGAGCAACGCCGCGUGAAUGAAGAAGGCCUUCGGGUUGUAAAAUUCUGUUAUAAGGGAAGAAAGGUGAUAGGAGGAAAUGACUAUCAAUUGACGGUACCUUAUGAGAAAGCCACGGCUAACUACGUG
rnacentral:rRNA from 1 species